rnacentral:rRNA from 1 species
UACGUAGGGUGCGAGCGUUGUCCGGAAUUAUUGGGCGUAAAGAGCUCGUAGGCGGCUUGUCGCGUCGACUGUGAAAUCCCGCGGCUCAACUGCGGGUCUGCAGUCGAUACGGGCAGGCUAGAGUUCGGUAGGGGAGACUGGAAUUCCUGGUGUAGCGGUGAAAUGUGCAGAUAUCAGGAGGAACACCGGUGGCGAAGGCGGGUCUCUGGGCCGAUACUGACGCUGAGGAGCGAAAGCGUGGGGAGCGAACAGG